UAUUUAAAGGUAGCGUGGAGUGAAAAGAGAGAAAUAAAUGAACGUUCCUCCUCCUCCUCCUCUAUCUUAGUAACUUCCUUCUUUGCCUUCGUCCACCGCUGCUUCUCUCUGUUAGUACUUAGAAAGAGAUUUGAGUUCUGAGAUCUGGCCACGUGUCAUCGCUUCGAGUUGCAUUACUGCAACAGUCUAAUCACCUCACCUCACCGCACCGCACUUUCUUCGCUGCCACAACGAAUGCACUACUUUUUCCGUGGUUUCCACUAUUAUCUUUCCUUUUAUUUUCUAUUUUUUUUUUUAAAUUCAGCAUUAGCAAAGAUUUACAUUUGUCUCAUUCUCCUUUCAGUAUUAGGAAAUCAAUCUACAAUGAAUCGGAUCUAAUUACUUUUUCUUUUUUUUCAUAUUCUCUUUCGCUGUUAUUCUUUGCCACCAAACCCUAAUAACUAUAUUCUUUUCAAAUAAUCAAUGUCCUCUACGAAAUGGUGGAUCGUAGAAUAGAGAUCCACUUAAUUUCGUUGUUUCUAUCGUUUCCUUUAGAUCUGAUUCAAAUCUUAAUCAUUUCCCCUUUUAAUAGGUUAUUCUCUCUCCAGGAGGUUUCCAAAUUUGGGAAUCUAUUUGUGUGUAUGUGAUGCUCAGAUCACAUUGUUUUUGCUUUAUUGGGACAUAGAAAUUGACAGAAGAGAGUGAGCACACAGAGGCAUUCGAUAUAGACAAUUAUACCGUUACUUUUGCGUGCUCACUGCUCUUUCUGUCAACUUCCGGUGCCGGAAAUCACUUUCCUUCUGGUUCUGUUUCUUUCACCUCCCAUUAAUCACCGGCUUUCCCUCUUGCUCUCUCAAUAUACUCAAAUGGAAUAGGGAAAGGAAGAUCGCCGCUCCCUCCUUAAUACAACAGAUAAUAGAAGCAUAGAAAUGGGAUUAAUUAACACCAUGCAUGUUCCUGCUGUGUCUUCAUCUUGCUGUGACACUCCAGUUACAUCAUAAAAUCAAAUCAUGUAUGUACUAGCAGAGCAGUUAAAUUAUACAAAAAUGUUGGUGGACAGGCUUCUUUGAAGGUUAACAACGAAUCCACCAAAUAUGUAUAUAUGUGCAGGUCAGUGUAUGCACAGCUGUCAAUUACUGUUUAUUUUUUUGGCACAUGAAAUUAAUAAAUGCAAUUUUCAAAAUUUUAUUUCCAAAUUUAGUUAUAGUUUUUGUGUGCACUUUUCUGAUAAUCAUUAAUGUAUAUAAGGUCCACACAUCACUUUUAAUACAAAAAUCUAUAUAAGAAUUUAGUAUUUGAUGCUGAUUGAGUAAACAACUUAAUAGCAUAGACACUUCUUGUAAGCACUUAAAUAUAUGUUAUUUUUAUUACAAUUUAAGUUAAAAACAGUUUACAUACAUACCAUAAACUAUUUUUACGAGUUUAAAUAAAUUAAUCUAAAUAAAUUUUUAUUGUCUGAAUCUAGAAUAUUGAUUGAGAUACUUGUGGAAGAAAUUAUCAUAGGUGGUCUUCCAUAGAUCAUUGUUUAAAAAUCAUUAAAAACUUUAAUGAUGAUCGACGACACUUGUUAGAAGUAUAAGUUCACUAUCCUCACGGUGUUUUUGGCGGAGACAGUAAUUCAAUCGAUUUCAACUAUAUAAAAAUAAGGGAAAUCAAAUUUGUCCUUCAAACUCAACUCGUCGAACAGACAACAAUCAUAUCAUUGUUGUAGCUGUAAGGACGAGGAGAUCCGUUUACUUAUAUUUUUGAGAAGUGUCGUCGAUAGUUUUUAGAGUUUGGUGACAUUUAAACAUUGAUUCGCGUCCACUAUAUAAUUUGUCUCAAAGUUAUGCUCAAGAAUCUUUGACAAAUUCUAAGGUAGAUCAAGUUGAUAAGUGACCUACUAUAGACAGAUACUUAAACAUUGUUCAAAAUUUCUACAACGAUAGACAUUAUUUCAUAGAAAUAGAAGAUUAUGGUUCUCUUCAUUAUAAAAGCUGUGAAAGUAGUUACUUGAUUAAAUUUGUUUGAUAAAAUAAGGAAAAUUAAGAACGAGAAACCAUUAACUUUUUACUUUGAAGGAAUGUUGUCGAUCAUUGUUACAAUUUCAAAUGAUUUUUAAGCACUAAUCUAUGAUAGAUCAUAUGUUAUAUUGAUCCACCAAAAUCUUUUCUUUGUAAUUUCUCCUAAAGAAUAAAGAUGUUAAUAGACUAUUACCUUUGCGAAAAUGUUUGUGAUUUUCAUUUCUUUAAAACGUGUGUUUAUUUUGUUCGAGAGACAUGAGGGCAUAAAUUCAAAGGCUUUGCAAUUAUCAAGUUCGAAUAAGGGUUUGAAGUUUUGGAGCAUUACAUCAUCCAAAUUUUGCAAAGUCAUUUUCUUUGAUAGAGUACGCCGCCAUCAGAAAUAGAAAAAUCAAGUAUAUAUUUGGAUGUGUUUUUUUGUUGUAGUUGUUUUUCGCAGGUUGCUCUCAUUAGAGAUAACUAUGUGCAAGACACAUCAGAUAUUAAAUAUGGACAUUUUUUAUGGUCGAGAUUCAAAUUAUGGUUAAUCACGUUGUACAAAGAUCAAUCUCUUCUGUCAAAUCUAACUUCAAUCGGUAAGUCUAAUAUUGGAUGUUCAAUGGAAAGGGAAUGCAAUGAAAUAAGAUAUAACUUGUUUGGAUGUUGUUUAUGUUGGAAUGAAGAAAAAUGAUUAUAGUUCUGUCCUAUUGCUCCCAAAUUAGAUUAAGAUAAAAAAUGGAGCAAUAUGUGAAAUGGGACAAAAUGCAUUCUAUUGAAUUCUAUUAUAUAUUUAAAGUAAUCCAAAAAAUGUAAUUUACUAUGAAUAAAUUCAUUCUAAUCUCAUUUCACCCCUUUCAAUUAGUUCAAACAUAAAACACUGGAUGUAUUGAAAAAAGCUAUUUGGUGAAUAAGUAAUAUACUUCAUCUUUUUUCGUA